UACAUGGAUAUAUUUCAGCAGGUAUGUUUAGUGAAAUUGUAUUUAUUUAGAAUAAUGUUGUUGAAAACAUACGGGUGCACUGGGAGGGUAUUAAACGUCCUGAGCUAUGAGCUCUUGAUGCUUAAAAAGUAGUAAAAACAUGCAAUAAUUAGAGUCAAUGCAAUAGCAUGGCUGUAAAUUAUCAGAUUUUCUUAUACUUAUAGCACCCUCAUAAAAUCUAAUUCAAUCCUUUUCUUCUCUGAGCAGUGAAUAGAACUUAUAAAUAUUGAUUGCCCACGGUAAUUUAUCUUUUGAAUUGUUGUAAACAGUAUAGAGUUCCUUCAAUUAACAUGAUUUCAAUAAUAACAGAGCAGACAUGAUUUAGGUAUGCAAGCCAUGUUCUUUUGUUGGCAUUGUACUCCCUUUGUAAUGCAGUCUUACUUUGACACCCAGGCAGUCUCCAAUUGUUGGCCUCCUCAGGCCGUUGCCUCACUGUUCAAGAAUUUUGGCCUAUGAACAAUUUAAUGAUAUAUUUCAUUUAACCCUGUUAAAAUCCCAGGCAUAUGACACCACUAUGGCUUAAAAUUCAAUAUCUUCAGGGACUUCAGCAACAACUAUAUAAUAUAAAGACCUAGUGUAUUUGUAACUAGGGUCAGGGUUAUUGCACUGCUUCUGGUCAAUAUUUGUAACUGCCAGGUUAACAAGUAAAAAAAUUAAACUUUCAGGUACAUGUCCUACCGAGAGGUGAAGAUGUGAGACCAGUCGGCGGCUCAUAUUGUGGCUGUGACGCUAGAGAAACAAUAUGUCUUCAGUAAGUACACAUCAUGUGUUCGUAUGUGUUUGUAAAUUACAGAAUGUUUAUUUUACUGUAAACCUAUAACCUUGCUUUGAUAGGAGGACAUUGUUCUAAAAUCCACCCACUGACUGCGUAUUGGUGGGUUUGAUGCUGGGGAAAAAAACAUUUAGCACAUUUAUAUGUUUAAUCAGAAUUAACUAAAUAGACGUUAACUCUUUAACUCUGCUUUUUUCUUACAGCAUAUUUCAGUUCAGUAGUGCUUUUAUCUUCAAAAGGUAUCCAUUGGAAUUUGAAAACUGAGUGGUAGCAUCCUCUAUCUUUGUGAAUGUGGGCCUGGAAAGGAGCAUUGUAACCAUUUUUGAAACUUUCAAUAAUGUACAGGCGGUGUCCAAUUGUUGCUGUCCUCAGGCUCUUGCGUCAUUCUGGGAGGACUGUCAACAAAUGAAUGGAAACUGAAGAGGAACAUGAAAGAAGAAGCAUCACAGUUGUUGGAGUGGCAGAGUCUGAUGAUGGCAAUGUUCUCCUUCUAACAAAAGAUCUGGAGGAGCUGAGUGUACCCCCAGGGCUCUUACCUGAAGAGGCUGAUGAGCUAAUUAAAAGGCUGCCAGUGGACCUGUCAGUUACAGCUAAGGGACAACAGGUUACAGAAGUGAAAACACUAGAUCCUGAAAUGUAAAAAACAAAGUUCAAAUGUGAUUGCUCUGUUCUGUCAAAGUUGUUCUGUCAGAAUUAAAGUGUUAAAUCGACAAUUUGAAAUGUACAAAUUUAAAUGAUCAUAUCCUAGAUGGUUUCAGAGGUGUUGCAAGUUGAUUUCUAUGUUAUGUCAG